rnacentral:lncRNA from 1 species
UGGCGGUGGGAACAACGGGCAUGUGUGGAGUCGAGGUGGAAGCUGAGGGCGAAGGAUUGGCCACCAGUGCACUCCAGGACCUCUAGAUCAGCCGCUUUAUUCUGUCGCUCCAAGCCUCCCAUCCUGUUAAGCCUGUUGGGGGGGGGUGCAGAACCCACCGGCGGUGAUGGAGGGCGGGGCCCGGGGGGGUGAUGCACAAUCCACUGGUGCCGGAGGAGGG